rnacentral:rRNA from 1 species
AGUCUUCGGCUGGGUGGACCGGGCGGAGGGAUCAUUACCGAGUUUACAACUCCCAAACCCCUGUGAACAUACCACUUGUUGCCUCGGCGGAUCAGCCCGCUCCCGGUAAAACGGGACGGCCCGCCAGAGGACCCCUAAACUCUGUUUCUAUAUGUAACUUCUGAGUAAAACCAUAAAUAAAUCAAAACUUUCAACAACGGAUCUCUUGGUUCUGGCAUCGAUGAAGAACGCAGCAAAAUGCGAUAAGUAAUGUGAAUUGCAGAAUUCAGUGAAUCAUCGAAUCUUUGAACGCACAUUGCGCCCGCCAGUAUUCUGGCGGGCAUGCCUGUUCGAGCGUCAUUUCAACCCUCAAGCACAGCUUGGUGUUGGGACUCGCGUUAAUUCGCGUUCCUCAAAUUGAUUGGCGGUCACGUCGAGCUUCCAUAGCGUAGUAGUAAAACCCUCGUUACUGGUAAUCGUCGCGGCCACGCCGUUAAACCCCAACUUCUGAAUGUUGACCUCGGAUCAGGUAGGAAUACCCGCUGAACUUUAAGCAUAUCAUAGGCGGGAGAGGAAA